UACGAAGGGGGCUAGCGUUGCUCGGAAUCACUGGGCGUAAAGGGCGCGUAGGCGGGUCUUUAAGUCAGGGGUGAAAUCCCGGAGCUCAACUCCGGAACUGCCUUUGAUACUGGAGAUCUUGAGUACGGGAGAGGUGAGUGGAACUGCGAGUGUAGAGGUGAAAUUCGUAGAUAUUCGGAAGAACACCAGUGGCGAAGGCGGCUCACUGGCCCGAUACUGACGCUGAGGCACGAAAGCGUGGGGAGCAAACAGG
rnacentral:rRNA from 1 species